AGGGUUUGACAUGCUGAGUUAAGCCUGCCUGAAAGGGUGGGGUGGUGUGUGGGUGACCACACGCACUCAGCACAGGUGCUGCAUGGCUGUCGUCAGCUCGUGCCGUGAGGUGUCCGGUUAAGUCCGGUAACGAGCGCAACCCUUAUCGCUAGUUGCCAGCGCGUUAUGGCGGGCACUCUAGAGAGACUGCCGGCGACAAGCCGGAGGAAGGUGGGGAUACGUUUUGGAAGCAAGCU
rnacentral:misc_RNA from 1 species